CCGGUGCGAAUUAAAAAAAGACAAAAACAAAAAAAAGUAGAAAGGUAUGCGUUACUCUGCUUCUUCUUCUUUCUUUAUUUCCCCUUGCUUUUCAUUUUCGGUUUUCCCUAACUCUCGUUUUCGCCCUUCUCUUAGCUUCGACCACCUCUGAAGUUCCACCUUUCUCCAAAUCUCUCCUCCAUUACGCGUGCUCGUAGUUCUCCAUUGAAGCGCAUUCUGAGCUUUGUCCAUAUCACUUCUCCACUACGCGUACUGUUAAUUCUCCAUUGAAGCGGAUUCGAGCUUUCUCACCUCCAUUGAAGCAGCUUCCAGGAGAACGUGCCUGCUUUUGCAUGCUUUUUUUUAUCACAAGAAAGUGGUUGACGGAUUAAACUAUUGAUGCAUAUUUGGCCAGCAUAGUCUGAAUUAUUUUUGGAAAGAGAACACACAAAUGUUGAGAUGUGUGAGUUGUGAGCAGGUAAAGGCACUUAUGAAGGAUCAUUUAAAUGGAAAAUCAGGAGGAUCAAGUGAAAAGUCGUCUGAGCCCAGUGCAUCAGUUGAACUGAACUCACGUAACUUUGAUGAUUUAGUGCUGAGUACAAAAAGGAGAGCAUUGCUUUACAGAAAGGAGUCAUCUUGAAAGCUAUUCUUAUUGUUUAUGUGGUGAUUAAUGAUUUUUUUGUCAGUGGAACCCUUAGUUUUCCACUAAACAUUUACGCGUUUGUAAUAUGCAUCUCCAUUUUAGUAACAUGGAUAAUGUGGUGUUUAUACUAAUUUUGGUUCUUGCCUGUUUUCGUUGUCAACCAUCUAUUGUAGUUUGUUUGUGUUGCAAAAAGGUUAUUUCUUUACCAAUGACUCUAUGAGAGGGAUACACUCUUCUACAGUCUUAAUUGUGUGAUUAAUCUGUUUUUUUUUUUUUUUUUUUUUUUGCCGUGCUUCCACUUCAUUGAUUUAAUUUGUUGUUUAGGCUAUUUUCAAUAUUCAUUAAGACUGCUUUGACCUGUUGUCCUACUUAGACUGUACAGUCUGGAAUCAUUGCUGACUUGAAACUCUCAACAGCAGAUGUAAGUUGCUUUGUUUAUGCUUUCUAAUCUUAAUUAUGGAGUACUUUGUAUAUCUUAGUUAGUCUUUUGUAAGUAUCACGGAGUAGCUUCUUGCCUUCUACUUUGAUGGCCUUAUGUUUUUCUGCAGUAUUCCCUCUUUAGCAUGUUCGUCGUCCAUUUGAGACGAUCUCAGUAAUCUAAAGUGGCUUAAAAAAAUCUCUCUAAGUAAGACCAAGAUUCUUACAGCUGGUACAUUUCUGAUCUAUAAUUUGGUGUAUGAAAACCAUAUGAGGUAUCAAAGUAAGAAUAUGAAAACCAUAUUCUUGAGCAGUCUGUUGACCGUCUUUGUGUUCUUACUUAUACUGGUUGUUGCUGGAUAUGUUGUGGUCUUCCAGUUGUUUUUCCUUUCACCUGUUAUAUAUAUAGUCUUUUCAGUAACUUUUUCUUAACUUCCCACAUGACUACCUUUGACAUUCUCAAAUAUGCUUCUUAGUAAGUAGCAGAUGUGAGAGUUUAAGAAAAUCGUACUUGCUAGAAGCCGACAUCAAUUUUAAUAGUUUUUUUUUUUUAUACAUUUUUUUCAAAUUUUCUAAUAGAUUUUGAUUGUAUUCUAGAAGUCGACAUCAUAUAUGGGACUAUCUCUUGUAUUUGAGUUGGAUGCCUGCUCUCAGGGUCUCAGGGAUGCCUGUCCCGAGCAUCUUGCUUGCUUUUAAGGGUCACAAUUUUUGGUGCACCUGGGAUACAAGUUCUGAUUUUAGAGUGGAACAGAAAAUUGAUUAUUGUAUAGUAAGUCACAUAAAAUGGCUACCUUUUUGAUAUUUUUGUUUAGAAAAUAAUUUAAAAAGGAAUAGGUUUUUGCAAAGUUUUACUUUGGUUAGCUGGGUAAUGCAUAAGCUGAAGUUAAAGUUCUAUGACACCCUAUGAUUUAUUUUGAUGGGAGUUGUUAUUGAAACAGUCACAAUUUGGAAAAAAAAAA